GGGGCGGCGCGGUGGCUGGAGCAUCGCUAUGUGGAUCCCGUGCCUCAUCCGUAGCGGAAACCAGGCCAUCGUCUUCGCCGACAUCAUCUUCGCCUCUCCCAGUUGAAAAGACUGAAAUGACCCUCCGUUGAAAGUGUUUCCGUUGGAGUUCAAGCGAUGAACACUGACGGCCGUCGCGGAUGCCGGGAGGGGGGGCGGCGCGGUGGCUGGAGCAUCGCUAUGUGGAUCCCGUGCCUCAUCCGUAGCGGAAACCAGGCCAUCGUCUUCGCCGACAUCAUCUUCGCCUCUCCCAGUUGAAAAGACUGAAAUGACCCUCCGUUGAAAGUGUUUCCGUUGGAGUUCAAGCGAUGAACACUGACGGCCGUCGCGGAUGCCGGGAGGGGGGGCGGCGCGGUGGCUGGAGCAUCGCUAUGUGGAUCCCGUGCCUCAUCCGUAGCGGAAACCAGGCCAUCGUCUUCGCCGACAUCAUCUUCGCCUCUUGGCGUCGCGCCAACAAUCACGUCGACUGGUACGCUGUACUCAAACUCGAUCUCUCUUCCUCCGCCGGCCGCCACCCACGUUGAGGAAGAAUGUCAUGCUGUCAAAAACCAAGUCGACGGGUUGUUAGGGAGCCAAGGCAAGUCGAUUGGUGAUCAAUAACAAUUCCGGGCCGGAAGCUGUAAGUAGGUUGUCUUGCUGAAUAUUUUUAGGCUCUCCAAAGCUGGAGCAGAGCCAUGAUUAGGAGGGCCACAAGAGUAUAACAUAUAUAAGUGAUGCUUCAAGUUUUCCAAGAGUCAGGAUGGAUCCACUCUUUGAGAAGAUAAAGUGGAAGCAAAAAGAUCAUCUGCAGCUCCAUUAGCGCAGGGGGGGAGAAGACUCAGAGGACCAAAACGGAUCAAGAAAUGGACAUGGAUGCGACUGUGGCUCAUCAUUCUCAUCGAUUCGAGGAACAGCUUUGGUGUUGGUCCCCGGGAUCAGAAGUUGUUGCUGCAUGUAACCCCAGGAAGAGACAAAAAGUGGCAUUCAAAGCCCUCUCUGGGUAUGUCAUGGACGAAUGGUCACCUUGGACUCUACGUUUGGUCCAAGAGAAUACUAUAUCGGCGUUCGACUUUGAAUUCCUUCCGACUAUUGCACCAUCAACUUUUCUGAGCACAUCCAACCUCUACUCCAUCCACUGCUCAAACCCUUUCAAAAGGAGCUGCGAUCAAGUAUGUUUUCUGGUGAUCAGUCCUUCCUUUUGUCUUCACUAAAUCUCCCUCUCCGUCAUGCUGUUGAACUGUUGGCUAAGAUUCAUGACGUAAAAUAUAUAUGUAUGUAUAUUGGUGAUGAACUCUUCUAUAACCUAUUUUUUGUGACCAAAGUUUUGAUCUUUCAUAUCGUAAGGGAAUAAUCUUAUUAUGGGAUCAAAAUUGUAUGCUAGAAAUGUUUCAAUAUCUAGGAAGUGUUGUCAUGUAUGAUGAGCG